AUCAGACAUCGAGGCAUCACUCUGCCUUCAUUACGAACAAACGAAUACAAUUCAAAUCCUUAACAGCUAAUAGGGACUUGUCUCGGCACGCCUGACAUUCACAAAGUUCUCCAUGCGCAUUCAGUAAUUUGUUACGCUAUUUAAUAUUACAUACAUCUUACUAUGUUAUUUAUGUUCAAGAAGUCCAUCAGGAUUGACUUUCGGU